rnacentral:lncRNA from 1 species
AUCUAUACAGGUAGUGGAAUAAAGUUUAAGUGCUAAUACUUAUGUUGUCUAUUCUAUGCAGGUAGUGGAUGCCUCUUUGUAAAUGCUAAUAAAAUGGUAAAUGCUUGUAUUCUUAACAAGUGAGUCACUCAUGUCAAAAUAUUCCAUCCAAACACUGCUUUUCUCUCUAUAUUUAGGGACCAUUUGAAUGAAUGGUUAGUUUAACAGUUUCUUUAAUCACUGCCAUUAAUUAGAUAGUUACUACAAAAUUCAAACUCUUUACAGAGGUAAGAAGACAUGUGGUUUCUUAUUUGAAUGGGGCAAAGGAAAGACAAGGACUAGAUAGGCGAGUUCUCUAGUAUGUCAUAUGCUCAUGCUUUCAUACAGGUUUAAAAUUUAAAUAAGC